GAUGAACGUUGGCGGCGUGCCUGAGAUAUGCAAGUCGAGCGACCCCGCCUCUGGCGGGGGGCGGCGAACGGCUGAGUAACACGUAGGAACCUGCCCCUAAGUCGAGGAUAGUCCGUCGAAAGGCGGAGUAAUACUCGAUGGUUCCCGCCUCUGGCGGGAUAAAGGAUCUAACCGUCCGCUUAGGGAGGGGCCUGCGGCCUAUCAGGUAGUUGGUAGGGUAACGGCCUACCAAGCCGAUGACGGGUAGCUGGCCUUAUGAGGGUGGUCAGCCAGAGGGGGACUGAGACACGGCCCCCACUCCUACGGGAGGCAGCAAUCAGGAAUCGUCGGCAAUGGGCGAAAGCCUGACCGCGCGACGCCGCGUGCGGGAAGAAGCUCUUCGGAGUGUAAACCGCUGUGGUUGGGGAGGAAGCCCCGCCUUUGGCGGGGUUGACAGUACCCUACUAGAAAGGGGCCGCUAACUGCGUGCCAGAAGCGUCGGUAAUACGUGGGCCCCAAACGUUAUCCGGUGUUAUUGGGCGUAAAGGKUCGUGUAGGCGUCCCGUCAAGUUUUACCUCAAAGACUAUGGCUCAACCAUAGGAAGGGUAAAAAACUGACGGGAUAGAAUUCCCUCAAGGGGGACGGGAACUUGCGGAGGAGCAGUGAAAUGCGUUGAUACCGCAGGGAACACCAGUGGCGAAGGCGCGUCCCUUCGAGGGAAUUGACGCUGAGACACGAAAGCUAGGGGAGCGAAGCAGAUUAGAGACCUGCGUAGUCCUAGCCGUAAACGCAUGUCUGCUAGCUGUGCUUUUCCUCGCCUCAUCGGCGGGGUUAGGCAUGGCGAAGGUAACCCGUUAAGCAGACCGCCUGGGGACUACGGCCGCAAGGCUAAAACUCAAAGGAAUUGGCGGGGAGGCACACAACCAGUGGAACAUGUGGUUCAAUUCGAGACGAACCGAAGAACCUCACCAGGGCUUGACAUGCUACCGUUCACCCGAAAGGAAACUUUCGGGGAUCCGCAAGGAUGGUAGCACAGGUGCUGCAUGGCUGUCGUCAGCUCGUUCCGUGAGGAGU
rnacentral:rRNA from 1 species